rnacentral:rRNA from 1 species
UUCGGAUGCUGACGAGUGGCGAACGGGUGAGUAAUACAUCGGAACGUGCCCGAGAGUGGGGGAUAACGAAGCGAAAGCUUUGCUAAUACCGCAUACGAUCUCAGGAUGAAAGCAGGGGACCGCAAGGCCUUGCGCUCACGGAGCGGCCGAUGGCAGAUUAGGUAGUUGGUGGGAUAAAAGCUUACCAAGCCGACGAUCUGUAGCUGGUCUGAGAGGACGACCAGCCACACUGGGACUGAGACACGGCCCAGACUCCUACGGGAGGCAGCAGUGGGGAAUUUUGGACAAUGGGCGCAAGCCUGAUCCAGCCAUGCCGCGUGCAGGAUGAAGGCCUUCGGGUUGUAAACUGCUUUUGUACGGAACGAAAAGACUCUGGUUAAUACCUGGGGUCCAUGACGGUACCGUAAGAAUAAGCACCGGCUAACUACGUGCCAGCAGCCGCGGUAAUACGUAGGGUGCGAGCGUUAAUCGGAAUUACUGGGCGUAAAGCGUGCGCAGGCGGUUAUGUAAGACAGAUGUGAAAUCCCCGGGCUCAGCCUGGGAACUGCAUUUGUGACUGCAUAGCUAGAGUACGGCAGAGGGGGAUGGAAUUCCGCGUGUAGCAGUGAAAUGCGUAGAUAUGCGGAGGAACACCGAUGGCGAAGGCAAUCCCCUGGGCCUGUACUGACGCUCAUGCACGAAAGCGUGGGGAGCAAACAGG